CUACGGGCGGCAGCAGUGGGGAAUAUUGGACAAUGGGGGAAACCCUGAUCCAGCAAUGCCGCGUGUGUGAAGAAGGCCUUAGGGUUGUAAAGCACUUUCAGUAGUGAGGAAAAGUUUAAGGCUAAUACCCUUGAACCCUGACGUUAACUACAGAAGAAGCACCGGCUAACUUCGUGCCAGCAGCCGCGUGUAAUACGAAGGGUGCAAGCGUUAAUCGGAUUUACUGGGCGUAAAGCGCGCGUAGGCGGUUUGAUAAGUCGGAUGUGAAAGCCCCGGGCUCAACCUGGGAAUUGCAUUCGAUACUGUCAGGCUAGAGUAUGGUAGAGGGAAGUGGAAUUCCACAUGUAGCGGUGAAAUGCGUAGAUAUGUGGAGGAACACCAGUGGCGAAGGCGACUUCCUGGCCCAAUACUGACGCUGAGGUGCGAAAGCGUGGGGAGCAAACAGGAUUAGAUACCCGAGUAGUC
rnacentral:rRNA from 1 species